CAGUCGCCGCGGGAAUACGAAGGGUGCAAGCGUUAAUCGGAAUUACUGGGCGUAAAGCGUGCGUAGGCGGUGAGUUAAGUCUGCUGUGAAAUCCCCGGGCUCAACCUGGGAAUGGCAAUGGAUACUGGCAAGCUAGAGUGUGUCAGAGGAUGGUGGAAUUCCCGGUGUAGCGGUGAAAUGCGUAGAGAUCGGGAGGAACAUCAGUGGCGAAGGCGGCCAUCUGGGACAACACUGACGCUGAGGCACGAAAGCGUGGGGAGCAAACAGGAUUAGAUACCCCAGUAGUCCCUGUCUCUUAUAC
rnacentral:rRNA from 1 species